rnacentral:rRNA from 1 species
AGUGAACGCUGGCGGUAGGCCUAACACAUGCAAGUCGAACGGCAGCACAGUAAUAGCUUGCUCUUACGGGUGGCGAGUGGCGGACGGGUGAGGCAUACAUCCGACUCUACUUUUUCGUGGGGGAUAACGUAGGGAAACUUACGCUAAUACCGCAUACGACCUACGGUUGAAAGCAGGGGAUCUUCGGACCUUGCGCGAUUGAAUGAGCCGAUGUCGGAUUAGCUAGUUGGCGGGGUAAAGGCCCACCAAGGCGACGAUCCGUAGCUGGUCUGAGAGGAUGAUCAGCCACACUGGAACUGAGACACGGUCCAGACUCCUACGGGAGGCAGCAGUGGGGAAUAUUGGACAAUGGGCGCAAGCCUGAUCCAGCCAUACCGCGUGGGUGAAGAAGGCCUUCGGGUUGUAAAGCCCUUUUGUUGGGAAAGAAAAGCAGCAGGUUAAUACCCCGCUGUUCUGACGGUACCCAAAGAAUAAGCACCGGCUAACUUCGUG